GGUCUUGUAGUGUAGUGGUUUAGCACCCGAGGUUUUGAUCUGUCGAGACAUCCUCGUGACCCAGGUUCGAACCCUGGCAAGACCU